UUCCCUUCAUGCUCAUUUGGUUAGAGUGAGGUGCUGAUAACGGCAAGGUUGCAGGUUCGAUCCCCGUAUGGGAAA